UCCACGGGUAGGUUCACUGAAGCUUUCAAAUACCCUUUUAAAAGUCAUCCUUUAAAUAUAGUUAAUGGAAAAAUCCGUCAGGUCCCUGUGCUGUGUGAGCAGGCCCCUCCACAGAGCUGCAGACAUCUCCAAAGUCAGCUCUGAAUCAGCACUACGGAAAACACCGUUGCCCUUUCCUAAGGAAUGCCCAGGAGCCAGGUGGACGAACCCCAGGCUGGCAUUCCUUGCUGUGUGUCUCCCACACACCCAGAUUCUGAGAGCAGAGCUUGCUUAGGCAAAGACCCAG